CAAAAGAUAAAGGUACCUUUUUAUAUGGUGAUUGUACUGCAGCUUAUAAAUAAGAAUUUAGAAGUUCUUUAUUACAGUUAUGUGAUGUAAAGCUGGAUAGCUAUGGUCAGCAGAAGAGAAAAGGGACGUUUCUGUUGUCUUUAGUAUAGUCCCUCUUACAGCCAUGGACAGAAUGUCAUAAACUCCAGAGCUUUAUCACCAUCACAGGGGGAGGGAGAACGGUACAUCAGAGUUUUCAGAUCGGACGAUGGAUAAUUUUCCUCAGAAAGUUAAAACUAGAAAGGGAAACAUGCUGGCCAACUGGAUAUACAGACAAGCAGACAGACAGACAGAAUGUUUAUGCCAGCGACUGGGUCUCCCCCAACUGAGAUGCUCCCUAGACCAGAGGCUGGCGAAACAAAGAAUUUUAAUGAAGCUCCUCAAUCAAAAUGCAUAUUUACAAGCAUCCAACCUGGUUGCCUGGCCGUUGCCCGAAGUUUGACGCUGGAGUGGCGCAGCACUCUCUCCUGAAUGCCUCUUCACCUCUCUCUGUGUUAGACUGUCCUUCAGAGCUCUCACAGUCUCUCCGGGGCAGGGAACAGCCCAUCAAUCACAGCUCCCUGAUAGAGCUCCUCCUCCUGUCCCUUUUAGACCAGCUAACCGGAUUUUGUGCGCACUGAGGCAUGGCACACCUGCUCGUGAGGAGAGGCCUGUUACUCCACUGCAUGAGAGGGUUUUCAUACCCAGCAAAAAACUAUAGUCUGUACAGCAUCCCAUAAUUUCAGCGCUGAGCAUUUCAGUUAGGCAGCAAAAGUAUUUGCGAUAAUAACUGAUUUACAGCUUGGGUCAAGAGGAAAAGCAAAACAAAACAUUUUUUUGACAGAUUACUGUGUCAAGGGCACAAAUUACUGGAGCAUGAUCAUAACUUAUAAAUAUAAUGACACUUAACAUAAGUAUGUUAUUUAUUUAUUUAUUGUGAGAGGAGGGUUACAGAUGUGCCUAUUACAUACAGUAUAUAUUAUAGCUGAUUCCACUAUUAGGCAACAGCCUAUUUGACUAACUCUUCUGAAUAGCUACAUAUCCAAAAUAUGAAGUUUACUUAGACUUUUUCAUAAGCCUUAACUCACAGAAAAUCUGAACAAAGUCUGAGUUACCUGAAUUAGAUAGCAUACACGAGAAAUUGACAGCACAACCCUCUAUAAUUGGCAUGUCUGAAUUCAUUUUCUAUUUCAGAAAAUCAUUUAUUUAUGAAGAAAACUGAGCUGGUCCUGGUGAUUGUUCCUGUGUAUGAUUUUGCACAUUACUGGAUGACGACAGCUUCAUUAAAUGGCAUCGGGGUAGAUUUACCUCUCAACUCAAAGUUUCAAAGUGAACCACAGUUUGCUGAAAAAGUUCAAUUUAUAUGCAAUCAUUCACUGUCUUCAGACAAAUUACUUCCACUUCCCUAAUUGUUGUCUGUCACAUUUCUUGACUAAGAAUAGGUAUCACAUUGGAAACUGAAUACAAAUGCAUGAUAAAGUGAAAUGGAAACUUCAAGUCCUUUACUGCCCUCUGCUGGCCUUUCUACUCAGGCCCACAACCCAGUCCCACCAGCCAAAUUACUAACAAUUGAAGACAUCGCCUAUACAUUUCAAAAUUAAGUAAAUAUUAGAAAGUUAAAUAAGCAAUGUGAUAUCAAUAAAAUUCUAUGAUUCGCACAGCUCUCAGGCUGCAGAUGCAAAUCUUUUUUUUUUUGUUUGGUUUGCUUUGUUUCAGUGUGUUUCCAUCUGUGGUUUCCCCCCAUAGAUUUGUUUAUUCCCCAGAAAUAUUUAGACUUCCAUCAGUACAAAUUUGUAUUCACUUUUUUUUACAGAAGAGUUCACUGAUAAUAAAACAUGUAUUUUAUUAUUAUCUGUCUGAUAAAUGAGAGAAGAGUCAAAGGGUAGAUUUUUUACCAUGUGCUAUACAUCACCCCUAUCAAUCAAUAUCAUCCGUCUCUGCAGCACGGCCACAGGAUUCAUUCUGUUCCUUUUGAUCUGCCAUUUGAUCUGCCAUACUGUAAUACACUUCUCCUGCCCGUAAUUGCUCUUCAAUAAACCAGACAUCUGCUGUAAUGAAAAUCAAUUCAAAUUUGUGUGGAGGAAAUAUGAUAUAGAUCAUGUUAAAUACUGAUGAAACACACAC